AUUGAACGCUGGCGGCAUGCCUUACACAUGCAAGUCGAACGGUAACAGGUUAAGCUGACGAGUGGCGAACGGGUGAGUAAUGUAUCGGAACGUGCCCAGUCGUGGGGGAUAACUGCUCGAAAGAGCAGCUAAUACCGCAUACGACCUGAGGGUGAAAGCGGGGGAUCGCAAGACCUCGCGCGAUUGGAGCGGCCGAUAUCAGAUUAGGUAGUUGGUGAGGUAAAGGCUCACCAAGCCGACGAUCUGUAGCUGGUCUGAGAGGACGACCAGCCACACUGGGACUGGGACACGGCCCGGACUCCUGCGGGAGGCAGCAGUGGGGAAUUUUGGACAAUGGGCGCAAGCCUGAUCCAGCCAUGCCGCGUGCGGGAAGAAGGCCUUCGGGUUGUAAACCGCUUUUGUCAGGGAAGAAAAGGUUCUGGCUAAUACCUGGGACUCAUGACGGUACCUGAAGAAUAAGCACCGGCUAACUACGUGCCAGCCGCCGCGGUAAGAC
rnacentral:rRNA from 1 species